rnacentral:rRNA from 1 species
AUUGAACGCUGGCGGCAUGCUUUACACAUGCAAGUCGAACGGUAACAGGCCUUCGGGUGCUGACGAGUGGCGAACGGGUGAGUAAUGCAUCGGAACGUGCCCAGAGGUGGGGGAUAACGCAGCGAAAGCUGUGCUAAUACCGCAUGUGAUCUGAGGAUGAAAGCGGGGGACCAGGCAGCAAUGUUUGGCCUCGCGCCUUUGGAGCGGCCGAUGUCAGAUUAGGUAGUUGGUGGGGUAAAGGCCUACCAAGCCGACGAUCUGUAGCUGGUCUGAGAGGACGACCAGCCACACUGGGACUGAGACACGGCCCAGACUCCUACGGGAGGCAGCAGUGGGGAAUUUUGGACAAUGGGCGCAAGCCUGAUCCAGCAAUGCCGCGUGCGGGAAGAAGGCCUUCGGGUUGUAAACCGCUUUUGUGCGGAACGAAAAGGCUCUGGCUAAUACCUGGGGCUGAUGACGGUACCGGAAGAAUAAGCACCGGCUAACUACGUG